rnacentral:rRNA from 1 species
CAGUAGCCGCGGUAAUACGGAGGGGGCUAGCGUUGUUCGGAAUUACUGGGCGUAAAGCGCACGUAGGCGGCUUGGUAAGUUAGAGGUGAAAGCCCGGAGCUCAACUCCGGAAUUGCCUUUAAGACUGCCGAGCUAGUAGGUGAGAGAGGUAAGUGGAAUUCCGAGUGUAGAGGUGAAAUUCGUAGAUAUUCGGAAGAACACCAGCGGCGAAGGCGGCUUACUGGCUCAUUCUAGACGCUGAGGUGCGAAAGCGUGGGGAGCAAACAGGAUUAGAUACCCCGGUAGUCCCUGUCUCUUAUAC